rfam:Dipodomys ordii contig_2464, whole genome shotgun sequence.
GGGAAUGUGGCUUAGUGGUAAAGUGCUUGCCUAGCAUGCAUGAAGUCCUGGUUUCAAUUCCUCAGUACCA